rnacentral:rRNA from 1 species
UACGUAGGGGGCAAGCGUUGUCCGGAUUUAUUGGGCGUAAAGCGCUCGCAGGUGGCCCGAUGCGUCGUGCGUGAAAGACCCCGGCUCAACUGGGGGGUGUCGUGCGAUACGGUCGGGCUGGAGGCCAGUAGGGGGAUGCGGAAUUCCGGGUGUAGUGGUGGAAUGCGUAGAGAUCCGGAGGAACACCAGCGGCGAAGGCGGCAUCCUGGACUGGUCCUGACACUCAUGAGCGAAAGCGUGGGGAGCGAGUCCGG